rnacentral:misc_RNA from 1 species
GCCAGCUUCUGCCAUGAAAAUCUUUGAAGAAUUAAUGCAGAUCUGAACAAUCAUAUAUAAGAAAUCAUUUGAUGCUUUUACUGGUGGAGAAGUCUUCCUGAAUUUAUUUAUGUACUCAAGUAUAUUAUUAUGUGUUUUCUGUUGCCAAAAGGUGCACUUCGUCAUACUAAUGACAUCAAAUGGAGGAACAAAUUCAUAAUGAAAAUAUUGUACUCUAAACAAAAAUAACAGAUGAAGUGAAAAU